rnacentral:rRNA from 1 species
GAUGAACGCUGGCGGCGUGCCUAAUACAUGCCAGUCGAGCGAACAGACGAGGAGCUUGCUCCUCUGACGUUAGCGGCGGACGGGUGAGUAACACGUGGAUAACCUACCUAUAAGACUGGGAUAACUUCGGGAAACCGGAGCUAAUACCGGAUAAUAUAUUGAACCGCAUGGUUCAAUAGUGAAAGACGGUUUUGCUGUCACUUAUAGAUGGAUCCGCGCCGCAUUAGCUAGUUGGUAAGGUAACGGCUUACCAAGGCAACGAUGCGUAGCCGACCUAAGAGGGUGAUCGGCCACACUGGAACUGAGACACGGUCCAGACUCCUACGGGAGGCAGCAGUAGGGAAUCUUCCGCAAUGGGCGAAAGCCUGACGGAGCAACGCCGCGUGAGUGAUGAAGGUCUUCGGAUCGUAAAACUCUGUUAUUAGGGAAGAACAAAUGUGUAAGUAACUAUGCACGUCUUGACGGUACCUAAUCAGAAAGCCACGGCUAACUACGUG